rnacentral:lncRNA from 1 species
CAUCAAUAUUAACUUAAUGACAUUCCAUAAGAAUAAAAAUCCAAUAGGACCAAGAUCUUAGCAGUUCACACCCGGUCAGAGGGACAAAAUUGAGAACCAUGCAGAUCAGCAAGUGUGAGUUACACGCUAAUGAGGAACAGGACAUCUGAAUUGGAAAAUUGCAAGAUUUCCCACUGCCCAAGCUGUUUAAGUACCGGUAUCACAACAAGUACCAAGAUGGAAGAAGUAUGUAGGCCAAGUUAAUAAGUAGUUACUUCAAAUUAAUUUGAAUAGAUAUAUCAACAAAGCAUUGAAUGUUCUUUAAACUGCAUAUCUGUAGAAAAGAGUGUAGUACAAGUUCAGGUUCAUCAGCGGGCAAUGACAUUAAAGUAUACAAAAUUUCACACAGAAUACAAGUAAGAAUUUUUUUUUCCAAUGGGCAAAUGUAUUACCUUUUAUUAAUAUUUAAUACUUCUACUAAUUCUUAGAA